rnacentral:rRNA from 1 species
GGGAAAAGGGCUUCGGCCGGACAGGGAUGGGCAUGCGGCGCAUUAGGCAGUAGGCGGGGUAACGGCCCACCUAACCGACGAUGCGUAGGGGUUCUGAGAGGAAGGUCCCCCACACUGGUACUGAGACACGGACCAGACUCCUACGGGAGGCAGCAG